rnacentral:rRNA from 1 species
UACAGAGGUCCCAAGCGUUGUUCGGAAUCACUGGGCGUAAAGGGCGCGUAGGCGGCCGAUCAAGUCGGGGGUGAAAGCCUGUGGCUCAACCACAGAAUUGCCUUCGAUACUGUUUGGCUUGAGACCGGAAGAGGUUAGUGGAACUGCGAGUGUAGAGGUGAAAUUCGUAGAUAUUCGCAAGAACACCAGUGGCGAAGGCGGCUGACUGGUCCGGUUCUGACGCUGAGGCGCGAAAGCGUGGGGAGCAAACAGG